rfam:Triticum urartu cultivar G1812 contig1171508, whole genome shotgun sequence.
CGCCGACACCCUCCGUCCGGAAUUACUUGUCAUCAAAAUGGAUGUGUCUAGAACUAAAAUACAUUUAGAUACAUCCAUUUCAAUGACAAGUAUUUUCGGACGGAGGGAGUACAAG